UACAGAGGUCUCAAGCGUUGUUCGGAUUCAUUGGGCGUAAAGGGUGCGUAGGCGGCGCGGUAAGUCGGGUGUGAAAUCUCGGGGCUUAACUCCGAAACUGCAUUCGAUACUACCGUGCUUGAGGACUGGAGAGGAGACUGGAAUUUACGGUGUAGCGGUGAAAUGCGUAGAUAUCGUAAGGAAGACCAGUAGCGAAGGCGGGUCUCUGGACAGUUCCUGACGCUGAGGCACGAAGGCCAGGGGAGCAAACGGG
rnacentral:rRNA from 1 species